rnacentral:lncRNA from 1 species
ACCUGGUGAAACAAGUCAUAAUAAGAGAUUGAAUAAAAAUGUAAUAAUAAUACAAAAUAAAAAAUUAAAUUCCAGUGUCUAGAUUUGUUUGAAUAAUUGAAAGAGAUAUACGAAGCAGCUUUAAAAAAAAAAAAAAAAAAGCAGAAUUGUCAGAUCCUGUCAAUCAUUAAGCACGGCUCCCUGAGCUGUGCAGUGCCUAGCCAGGCAGGCGGAGAGACAGGCCCCUCGCCACCACUCAAGCAUUUCAACUCCGUUACAGAGUAACCCGUGGGGGGAGUAGUCAUGGAAACCCACCUCAUUACGACAAAAUCUGAGAAAUAUAAGGCGAAGAGAGGGGCAAACACCUGCCAUUUCACAACAUAACUUUGCUAUAGUUUCUUAGAUCAGAUUUUAAAGUUGAAGAGGAGAACAAAAGAGGAGUCUUAGGUCUAGGUCUAAGAAAUGGAUGACCUUUCUGGAGUGCAGAAACUGUGGAUUUCAGUCUCAUAGACUUAAUCGAGAAGAAUAAGAGAACGAACGAGAUGAUGAGUCUGGACUUCAGAGGGAAAGGAAAGAUGGGCCAAAGCCAAGUGCAUGUUAUUUUACAACGGAAUGCUGUUAUACUGGGCUCUGUGGUCUGUUCUAAGGAUCAUUUCACUCGAAUUAUUGUUGCUGGGCUUUCAUAGCGUUGGAUUUACAAGAUUUGAAGAUUUGGGAAGUUUAUGCAUAUACUCUAUUAACGCUGAAUGAACUUAGCAGAAGCAGUUGAUACUUGCUGGAGACAUCAAGAACAUUUUGAAUUUGGUUUAAAAUGGGAAACAGCAACUCCAGACCAAAGAAUUGCCAAGUUGCACCAUCUCAGAAUCUUCUGGAAGAGGAGGAACCUGCCUGUCAACCAACCUCACCAUGGAUGAUCACUGCUGUGCAAGGUGAAGCAGACCAGCUGGAGGGAAUUCUGGGUCACCAGUGUACCAGUCAGCUGGCAGCACGAAAGCAGCACCUGCCUCGCAUUGUUCAUUCACUUCCAGGACAAAAGAUGGAGAGAUGGGGUUGUCCACCAGUUUUCCACACCCAGCAUGGAAGGUCACUGUGGUGCAGGCAGCAGCCAACAGACAGUCCAGACCUGCCAAGGAACCAAGAAGCAUCGGCUCCAGCAGAGGCAGAGGAGAUGGUGAAUAGUUUACACCUCCAGUGGAGGAAUUGA